UGGGGAAUAUUGCACAAUGGGGGGAAACCCUGAUGCAGCGACGCCGCGUGAACGAAGAAGUAUUUCGGUAUGUAAAGUUCUAUCAGCAGGGAAGAUAAUGACGGUACCUGACUAAGAAGCACCGGCUAAAUACGUGCCAGCAGCCGCGGUAAUACGUAUGGUGCAAGCGUUAUCCGGAUUUACUGGGUGUAAAGGGAGUGUAGGUGGCCAGGCAAGUCAGAAGUGAAAGCCCGGGGCUCAACCCCGGGACUGCUUUUGAAACUGCAGGGCUAGAGUGCAGGAGGGGCAAGUGGAAUUCCUAGUGUAGCGGUGAAAUGCGUAGAUAUUAGGAGGAACACCAGUGGCGAAGGCGGCUUGCUGGACUGUAACUGACACUGAGGCUCGAAAGCGUGGGGAGCAAACAGGAUUAGAUACCCUGGUAGU
rnacentral:rRNA from 1 species